CAGGAACUGAAACUGGGAACACCGGAGCACAGGAUGAGUUCCUAAGAAAGAAAGGACAGAGGAGCUAGACAAGAGGAGUUGGCCAGCCUCUCACCAGCUCAGUGUGCUCCUCUGUGGGAAUCCAUCAAGAGCCAAGAGCAGCUACCUCGGGUUUUGACACCAACUCUGGAGGACCUGUGCGGUAGAUUCAUAACGUCCUCCUGGGCUCUACAGCAGCUUGCAAUGGCUACAAAUCAAGUGGAUGCAGCCUUUACUCCUCACCUGGGAUUGACGUGUUCCGUUGUUUUCGUGGGGAGACCUGGAAGUCUGUUGGUAGCAGACCCAGGGAAUGGCUCCAGCUGGCUUGCCAGCUGGAUAGAUGGAAUCUGUUUAGUCCAUCCCUGGGAUACUGAAAUUGUCUUCAAUUCAGAUAUGGGGGUGAUUUGCAAAAAAACUGUGAGCCCUGUAUAAUGGAACAAGCAUCCAUGAAAAUUGCUGGGGACCAGUUCAAUUGAGAACAGUUUGCUGACCUGUCUUGACGGAUGACCAGUCCUCAUCAGCUGACAGGCUCCUACAGAAUCCAUGGCAUGCAACACCUAACCACUUAAAAUGCUGAUGUCCUCUCAAGGUCAGAAAGCUGGGCCAGCACAGCAAGGAUGGGCUGUCUCUGCUCCAGGGCAACCCAGGAUUCUGCUUGGAGGCUUAACUACCACGAUGAAUACCUGGAGGAUGGAUUCUACAGUAUUUUCCUCCUCACCUGUGUAAGACAGGACUGUUAGGACUGUUGCUGGGAUGCUCCAUGGCUACCUCAUUUGGUUUGGGCCUUCUCAUAGUGGGGCCUUCUUGGGAUAGUCAGAAACUUUUGAAUGGUGGUCCAGGAUUCUGAGGGCAAGGGUUUUGGCUAACAGGCAGAACUUCAUCACAAUCUCUCAUUGUUUGCAAUUAUGGCGUGUGGAUGUUGAUCAAAGCAGUCAUCAACCUACCUUGCAUCAAGAGGCAGAGACCCAAACCCCACUUCUUCAUGGGAACGAUUUCAAAACAGACAAAUUUACAAUGUGGACUGGUUAUCACUAAUCGUCCUCAUCCAAACAGCAUAAAGCAGCCGUUCAGCUCAAGGAGGAGAUUUCAUUUCAACUCCAGCUUCCAAGAUGUGUCUGGGUCUCAAGCCACUGUAACCAGCAGGGUGAGACACAGACUUCAUGAGCUGUUGGCUAAACUGCGCCUUGCAGCAGGAGGAGGAAAUGGAGAGCACAGAAGCAGCCCUGGGAAGCCACGCCAUGGAUACUCUCCACGUUCGCUUCAGACACUAAUCUAGAAUCCUGACUGAUGCUCCCAUGUCGAAGUGUGAGCUGUAGUUAGAAACUGGCUGUGACCUCAGUACUGGGAAGGCUUUCCCGAAAGUUCCAGCUGAAACACUUUCUCCUCCAG